rnacentral:rRNA from 1 species
ACGGGAGGCAGCAGUGGGGAAUAUUGCACAAUGGGGGAAACCCUGAUGCAGCGACGCCGCGUGAGUGAAGAAGUUAUUCGUAAUGUAAAGCUCUAUCAGCAGGGAAGAAAAUGACGGUACCUGACUAAGAAGCCCCGGCUAACUACGUGCCAGCAGCCGCGGUAAUACGUAGGGGGCAAGCGUUAUCCGGAUUUACUGGGUGUAAAGGGAGCGCAGACGGCUUUGCAAGUCUGAUGUGAAAGGCAGGGGCUCAACUCCUGGACUGCAUUGGAAACUGUAGGGCUAGAGUGUCGGAGAGGUAAGCGGAAUUCCUAGUGUAGCGGUGAAAUGCGUAGAUAUCAGGAGGAACACCGGUGGCGAAGGCGGCUUACUGGGCUUUUACUGACGCUGAGGCUCGAAAGCGUGGGGAGCAAACAGGAUUAGAUACCCUGGUA